CUUUGUUUCCAUUAUUCAUUGAUUUGAUCUUCAUUCUCAUUUACCUAGGAUUUUCUUGAGAAACCCUAGCCGCCUCCCUCUGAAGUAAAUCAUCUUCUGAAGGAACACCACGAAAAAACUAAAUCAACUUACUGAUUUCUUUUUGUAUCAAGCAGUUAUAGAUACAAAUGAAUCACGUUUUUGUUUUGUUUUUUUUUCCGUCUGUCUACUGCUCAUUCAAGCUCACAAUUGGGGGAAGAAAUUUUAUGGUUUGUUAAAGGAGAUGGUCAGAACUCAGAUCUUCAGACAUCUUCAAAUCAAGAAGGAGGUGGAGCCACAUGUUGCGAAUGAAGUUGUUGCUCCGAGCUUUAGGAAUUUUUGGAAGGCUGGUGAUUUUGAUGAGUUUUUGGAUGGUGAUUGGGAUACAAGUAUGGAUGGUGGGAACUGCCGGUGAGAACGACGACGAAGACCGAUGGCUGGUGUUUUCCGGCCAUUGAUGUAAAAUAUAAAAAGGUAAAUUUAUUGUAAACUAAAUGUAAUAUUAUUGAAUACCAGUUAUUAUAAGAAUAUAUGUUCAUUAGAAAAAAAUGAAAUUUUAAUUAUUAAGUAAAGGCUGUCAUGGAGAUAAUGUGUGGCCGCUAAUAGUUGUGGAUUACUUUUCCUUUGGAGUAAGAUUAAAAGGUUUUGUCUGUUUUAUCAAUUUUAGCGAGACCCUUGAUUUAGAUUCUUGAUUUUGUGUUUAUUUUGUUUGAUUUUUGAUAUUAGUGUGUUACCGUCUUCUCCACUAUUGCAGAUUACAAAACUAAAGCCAAUUUCAUCCGAUCAGAGGUAAGAGAAUCUUAUUUUACAUGAUGGAGAGAGCACUUGAAAACGGAUUUGUAAGGAUACCAGUCUCAUAUCUUACAAGCAGUAGUUUGUACCUCAUAUAAGUUAUUAUUUAAAAAUAAAUAAAUUCUUUUUUCUCAUUGAUUAUUCUUCGCCAUCUUAA